CGUGAAAUUGUUGAAAGGGAUGCGUUUAUGACCAGACUUGGGCUGGGUUAAUCAUCUGGGGUUCUCCCCAGUGCACUUUUCCAGUCCAGGCCAGCAUCAGUUUUCCCCGGGGGAUAAAGGAAUAGCGAAUGUGCCAGUCUUCGGGGUACGUUAUGCGGCGAGUCGUAAUACCCUGGCAGAGAAUGAGGUUCGCGCAUCUGGCAGAAGGAGGGCGAAAUGGUCAUAAACAAACCGUCUUAAAACACGG
rnacentral:rRNA from 1 species